UACCCUGGUAGUCCACGCUGUAAACGAUGAGUACUAGGUGUCGGGGGUUACCCCCUUCGGUGCCGCAGCUAACGCAUUAAGUACUCCGCCUGGGAAGUACGCUCGCAAGAGUGAAACUCAAAGGAAUUGACGGGGACCCGCCCAAGUAGCGGAGCAUGUGGUUUAAUUCGAAGCAACGCGAAGAACCUUACCUAAGCUUGACAUCCCAAUGACAUCUCCUUAAUCGGCGAGUUCCCUUCGGGGACAUUGGUGACAGGUGGUGCAUGGUUGUCGUCAGCUCGUGUCGUG
rnacentral:rRNA from 1 species